GCGGCAGCCGUAUGGCUUGUGACAUAGUACGGAUUGUGUGCAGGUGGCCUCACGCUGUUGUUGUUGUAGUUGUUGUUGUUGUUGUAGUACGGUUGUAGAGUUGGUGGUAGAUGGUAGUUGUCGCAGUUGCAGUUCGUAGUCGGGUACCAAAGACACCACAAAACCAAAACCACAAAGAAUUAGCCCAGAAAAGAGGGGACGUCGUCGAUAGGAGAAACUGAAAUCGUUGGCGGGAGACACGCUGCCGAUUCGUCGGUAUCGAAAGGAAACAUACGUUUCUCGAUGCUCGAUGAAUCGUAGAGAGCAGGGAAGAAAAAAAAAGGCAAGGAAAGACGAAGCGAAGCGAGACAACGCUCCAGUGACCCGUUCCGUUUCACCGAAAACGCUUUGACCAACGCAGCGUCCGAAACGGUGAAUCGGUCGGUCCACGGUCUCCCCGCGUGAAAUCGCUCGAUAAUCGAUCGGUCCCGUGACGCGGCCCGUUCGAUUCGCCUCGAUUUUCAACUCCCGUUACUGUUACGAUUCCCCCUUUUUUUUCGAUCGACAGAAAAAUCUGACGAUGCCCCCUUUUUAUUGCACGCGUCUUUCCGGGAUUCUCUUAUUCUUCAUUAACGAUCGGCAAACGAUAAAGCGGAACGAGAUUCUCGAUUAUCGUUCGAUCUCGCCUUUGUACGCCUUUUUUUGCAUUUCGUGGAUAGAAAUAAGUGGAAGGAAAAGAAGAGGAGGGUUUAAAGGCUCUGGAGGAUUACGGAAACGAUAAGCGCUAAAGCGAUAAAAGCUCUCUGAAAAGCCACCGCAGUACGAUGCGCACUUUUCGCCGUUCUCUCGAAACGCGAACGAAAAAUUAUACCGCGUCAACGAUCGCGCACAGACUUUCGUCCAUAAAUUAAUUUUUGCUCCCAACAAGCAGACGGAAACAGAAACGGAGGCUAGCGUCGUUAGAUCGUUUUGCACGUUCCAAAGGGAAAUUAAGCAGUUUUCAUGAAUUAAUUAACAGCGGAAGAAUCACGCGCGCAAAGCUAUUCCGUUAUCGUUGGAAACUUCCGAGCGACGUUUUCUCGCGUCUCGUACCAGAGAAUCCCCUUAACGCGAUUGCACCUCGAGAUUCGUCGAAAAUAUGUGCUGUAAACAAGAAAAAUUCAACAGAAAUGUGUUCGUAUCGCGAAUCCUUUCUUCGUUUUUUUUUUUUCAUACUUUGUUGCUCGCGUUUCGCGACCAACGGGAUCUCGCGUUUUAUUCGUGUUUCGUUCUUAUUUUCCGCUUAACGUCGUUGAAUUUCGAAGAGAACGAGAAGCGAGGAAGCGGAGGCGCUGUACAAAAUUAAUUUUGACAACUUUGCGCUACGGGAAACGUAAGUGAUCAAAAAGAAAAAAAAA